CACUUUUGGAGAAUAAUAACAAUAACUCAAGAAACAGUUGCUCUCUGAGAUGUUCCAGUACAGGACGUAAAGGACAGAUUAGCGUGUGGAUCCCAUGUAUGCAUGUACACCUGUCUGCUUCUGGCUUCUUUGUCCACCACAGCAAUUUAGAGUAAUCUACUCCCAGCAUCUCUGGCCAUGCCCCUUUCCUUUAGUCAUGCUCCUGACAUACUUCCUAUGACAAGGCUAGAGCUGAAGGGGCCAGCUGUAUGUUACCUGGGCAUUCCCCCUGCUAUGGAAAUCUUUUAACUGUCCAGUUAGGCCACUUUACAGCCCCUUUGCACCACUGAACGCAAUGAUAUUUGAGGGAAGAGUGCUGAAGGAAGUAUGUUGAAUGUCUGAAAUAGAGGAUAAAAACAUUUGGAGGGGGCUGGUUGUUCGUUGAGCAGAUACUUUCGUAGGGGAAGAUGAUGGGCUAUUUGUUGUUGUGGACAGAUAGGAAUUUUAGGGAAUAUAUAAUUUUGGGGAGUGAUGGUUCAUUGGGGGGAGUGAUUUCAAGGGCCUAAUAGUGAUGGGGGACAGAUAUUUGUGAGGCGAUGGGAUAUUACAGUUUAGGCUCCCUUCCCUUUUAUCAGUCUCUCUCAGCUGCAAGGACUGACUCCUCCUGUUCCCUGGGCUCAAUAGCUUAAGCAAGCUUGUGGGAGGUGGCUGCAAUAAUCCAAAGGUCUUUCUUCCCUUUGAAGAGCAGACACAAGCAUUCCGGCAGAUGCUGAGCCAGAGGCUGCAGUUCCACAGUAGGUUCUGGUUUCCGUUGAUUUUUCAUGCAUGCAUCUUAAAAAUAAAAGGACUUGGUUGUUGAGCACAAGGACUCCUUACUUCUUCAAGAAGAACUGCACACCCAACACCAAGCUCCUGGCAGUAGGUGAGGAAACAGACCCAUCUAGCUCUUCACAGCAAUAGUUGCUGCUUGGUCAGGAUUCCCCAGCUGUGGCCUCCUCUCUCACCUGGAAAGGACGAUGGGCCCUCCUGUGCACCAUGGAUCCCAACUUCUUUCCAGCUAUCUCUUCUGGAGGACUGUCAGCAGGGGCAGCCGCCUCCUUCACAGCCAACCACCCCAGGACAACGUGGGACUAGUGGAGACUGUCAUUGGUUUAUCAGCAUUUUCCCUGGCUGUCCUUGGACCAGCUGGAUGGUUCCUGUUCCACCUUCCGAGCUAUAAAAAGAAGUAGAAGAUGUGCUUUCCUAUUUAAGACCUGGCGCCUCAGAUCUGCUGUAAAUAUUCCUUUAUGGAGCAUCUUUAAAGCAAGAGUGUCAACCUGAAGUCUAAUCAACAAAAAAAAUAAAUGAGUUAAAUGCUAGUUUCAGGUUCUAUAUCAACUAUGUUGUUACUGUGUGAAAAACUCACACAAGCAGGGAAAAUUACUAAUUCAGGUCCCCAUCCUGCAAUGCCUCAUGCAGGUACUCAAGUUUAUGCUCUCUGAGGAGUCUCGUUGACUCCAGUGGGCUAAGGUUAAAAGUUAAGCAAAUGCAUAACUAUUUGCAGGAGUGAGGCCUGACCAUAUAUGGAAAACAGUAAAACUGACACAAAUUGCCAUAGUGUGGCUGAUCUAAGUGGGUUCAACUACACUGACUUCAACUGAGUUGCACUGAGCAGACCCAGACUGAGUUUGGCCCAGUGUGCUUUCAAAAGUGUAAGCUAAGCUAACUGAAAAAAAUACAAAGAAAUCAUUAUUUUUAAACUCUUUUUCUCCUUUACAAAUAUUAGGGGUUCAUUUUAAUAAUAGGAAUAAAUAUUGACAGAGAAGGGUGAUUUUUAAGUUGAUUGUUUCUCUUUAACUCUUUGUGUCUCUUCUGUGUCAAUAGAAAAACCUGUGCAUUCCCACUAGAAUAAAUGUAUCCUGCAAAUUGCUGUUGGCAGAAACAUCAAUUUGUUUUAAACUUUUAUGUUAGAUUUAUGUGAAGGAUUUUGCCAUUUUUUAUGUUUAUAAUGGAUAGAAUGGAAAUAUUUUAAAAUCUAGUCUUCAUUUUAAGUAAGUAAAGAUAAGGGUUCAAUAUGUCACACUUACAUGGUAUUAUUCUUGGUUCAAGUCAUAUCUCUUAAUGAGUACAUUUCUGGUUUGCAAAAAUAUAGAGUCCACCCUCUAUGAUGCUUGAUACAAAUCAUAUUCUGCUAGCUGUCCGUCUCCAUUAAGGGUAAAACAACUCACUGUAACAUGAAAAUACAGCUUCUGAAAACAUGGAUUUCAGUGCAACUUCUUUCUCAGCGAAGUGAAAGUAUAAAUUCUUAGUAUGCUUCUAAAAUGUAAUUUUCAAAAAAGCUGAACUGUCUGGUUCUUCUCCACCACUUUAAAUGCUUUUAGACAUUUAUGAAUUGGAGAGAAUGGGGGCUCUUUAAUAGCUUAUAAAUAGUGAUGCUGUUUUAUUCUUCGCAGAAAAAUAUAGCCCUGUCACUGUAAUUCUACCAGCGUGAUUCAACGUUCAUUGAUGUUUAUGGAAGGAUUCCCACAGAUUUCAAUGAGCUUUGGAUUGGGGCCUAGAUUCUUGAUCUCCAGAGAACAAACCAUGCCAGUAUUGAUUAGAUGAAAACAGAAAGAUAGCUGCAGGAAGACACUGUGGAGCACUGAUUUUGUAAACAUAAGUAGUCAAUGGGACUAUUCAUCUGUAUUAAAUUACUCAGUGUGCAUAUAUUCUUGCAGGAUCAGGGGCCUAAUUUGGUUAUUCCUACCUCAUUUAAUAUACAAGAAAUAACUUAGUAAGACAUGAUAUAUUUUAGUUACUGUAUUUGUCCUUCUAAGAUAUGAUAAUAUCUAGUGAGAUUGUCUGUUUAAAACAAAGUAAAUAAAGUAAGUCAAAAGCUCAUUGAAGCAAUUGGAAUAGCACUAGAUGAAAGUCUGGUAAAAAAAUUGUUUAACAUUUGGAGACAUAAGAACAUAGACAUAUUUAUCUUUUAGUAGAAAUGCUUCUAGAAAUCAGAGCAGUUAUCUGGAGAAUUGUUUAAAAUAUAAGCAUUUUUCAGAAAUAAAAGAACAUUCAAAUAUC